rnacentral:pre_miRNA from 1 species
CAAAUACUCCCUCCGUUCGGAAUUACUUGUCAUAGAAAUGGAUGUAUCUAGAUGUAUUUUAGUUCUAGAUAUAUCCAUUUCCAAGACAAGUAAUUCCGAACGGAGGGAGUACCAU